UUUUUGGGGUACACCAGGUUCAAUCAUCUGUUUUUAUACACAUAUCCCUGUAUUCCCUCCCUUCCUUGACUCUCCCCCCUCGAGUCCCCCCCACCCUCCCUGCCAGGAAGCGAGCAUCUUUUUGAUGCCUGUCUUAACUCUUACCUCCCAUGCCUUAACCCCCAACACUUACUGUUCCAAACCCCUUGGGUAGACUUUGCAGGACCUCCCCCUAAGCCCCAAGCCAGGCAGCUUCCUCCUGUGACAGGUCUGCCUGUGUCCAGGCAGGACGAUAACUCCACGUGCAUGUGUGCUCUUGCAUCAGAGAAUGCAGUUUUCAUGGCCAAUGAGGCAGAGUGAAAUGAGGGCAUCCUCCAUGGCACGGGCUGAACCAGCCCACCUUUUUCGUUAGGUAGUAGCCAGUAAAGGUUGUGGAGAAAGGUUUGUGAGCUUCAGACCAAUCCCCAAACCCGUAUGUGGGAUGCUUGCCCAGAGAGCGCUGACCUCCCCCAGAACAUGCAGAGAGGUGGCAGAAUUAGAGCUGGGCCUAGGGCCUUUCCCAUCCGCCUCUACUCUCUGCCACCCCCCACUUCCCAGUGUGGGGGGGGGCGGGGAGUGGCAUUUGGGGGUGGGGAGCAGUCACCAGAGGAAGGAAACAGUGGGAAUGAGGACCACAGGAGUGUGAGGAAGAAAGUAUCUCCUAAAUCCUAGGUAAUUGCCCCUCUGAGAAAAUCAAGGGGUGACUUUAACAACCUCAAAGAAUUAUGACCAGAGAACUCUCCCAGACGCUUUCUGAAGAAUGAAGAUUAUGAGCUAUUCCUUUUAUUUUGGUAGUUUCCCUCUCAGAUUACAAAAAUAACACAUGUACUUCAACCCUGUAAAUAUACUAGAACCAUUGAAUCAUCCAGCUUAAAGGGUGGAUUUUAUGGGAUGUAAACUAUAUCUCAAUAAAGUGGUUUAAAAUAAAUAUAUCAAUAGAAUUUAAAAAGUAACACGUUUAUCACAAAAGACCUUAGAAGAUACAGAGACAUGGAAAGAAAUGAAAUCAGAAUCUCGUCUCUCAGUGAUAAAUACUUAAGGUUCAGUGUGUUUCAUUCUUUUACUAAUUCUUGCUUACGGAUUUGAGAUAAAUGUUAUACAUGCACAAAUUUGUAGUCUAUUUUGUUUAUUUAACUUGAUCACAAAGGAAUUUUCUCCAUGGUAUUAAAAACUCUGCUGGUACUUCUUUUUAAUGGCUGUGUAAUAUUCUUCCCCAUGGACCUGUGGGUUUACUUAACGGCUGCCUUGGGGAUGGGUCUUUAAGUGCCUUCUGGCUUUCCAUGCUGUGGGAGACUUCUUUGUGAGCCUAUGGGCAGAGUUCCUUGCGGGGAGAUCGGUGGUCCCACAGGGUGGUCAUGAAGUGCAAAUUAGGGGGUAUGUGGGAACUUCCCAGAUGUCCAGUGGUUAGGGCUCAACGCUUUCCCUGAUGCGGGCACGGGUUCAUUCCCUGGUGGGGGAGCUAAGAUCCCGCAAGUCGCACAGCCUGGUCAAAAAAAAAAAAAAAUUAGGGGGUAUGUGUUAAGUUUCUGACAUGGAACAAACACUUGUUAACGGCCUCUUUUUUGUUUUUUGGCUACAUUGGGUCUUCAUUGCAUCUUGCAGACUUCCGGGCCUUCUCUCUAGUUGUGGUGUUUGGAUUUUCUCUCUCUAGUUGUGGUGCCCGGGCUCCAGGGCACGUGGGCUCUGUAGUUUGCAGCACGCAGGCUCUCUCAUUGAGGUGCAGGAGCUCAGUAGUCGUGGCAUGGGCUUAGUUACCCUGAGGCAUGUGGGAUCUUAGUUCCCCAGCCAGGGAUUGAACCCAUGUCCCCUGCAUUGGAAGGAAGAUUCUUUACCAUUGGACCACCAGGGAAGUCCAAUGGCCUCUUUCUUCAUUUCCUAAAACAACCGCUGCAUUUGUCUGCCGAGCCAGAGCCUCUUCGAGACCACAAAGCUGAAGGACCCCAAUCUGGGUUCCAGGACCCUGUAUGCUCUGGUAGAUGUGGAAAGCCUGGCCAUGGCCUCCAUCUCCCCUGCUUGGAUGUGCCUUUUGGUGCUCUGCCCUUUCUCUCCUAAAGCCUGUGCUCUAGGGAAAGUGGGGGUGGAGGGGGAUUGAUUCACAGAGAAAUCCAUUCCUCUUGCCCAUCAAGUACGCAGAAGGAUGGACACGACCCUGGCCCACACUCUGGGAGAGGGGCUUCCGCAGGGAGGAGGAGGGCAUUACUGGGGACCCUCUUCGAGGCUGCCUACUACACCAGGGAAGAGGAAUUUGCUUUGUUUCACAGGAAAUAUAACACCACCCAUUAGGAUUUUUGAAAGUGUGAACAUUCUUGGAGCCCAGCAUCACUCUCCUCCCUCCCUGCUGCCCACUUUGCUCUGUGGAUGCUUGGGUCCAAGAGGCACUGACAGGCUGGGGCCACUAGUUGGGACAGGAGGAAAACAUAAACAUGUCAUCUGUAGAACAACCCUAAAGAUAGGGGUUCUAAUGAUUGCCAUUUUACAGAGGAAACUGAGGCACAGAGAGGUGAGCAUAUGCCCCAGGUCAGCUGGCUGGUACACUCCUUGGCCCUUUGUCCUGGUCCAACUGCACUCUCCCCAUGUUCUGAGAUGCUCUGUGGGGCCACGCUGGGGGCUGGGCUAGGCUGCCAACACCUUGUUCUGCUGGGGGUGGGCACUGACUAUCCCCCCUCAGGAGACCAAGCGUCAAAGGGAGAGGUACCAAGGGUGAGACUGAUCACCCUGCCUGGUGUCGUCUCAGAGCUGAGAGCAUUGGGCAUCCCAGCAUGCGGUGUGACUGCCUACGAUUCAGCCCGUGACACCGAAAAGAGCCUCAUGGUGGACACCUACCUGAAUGAGACGGGCGAGCCUACUCUAGCAUGACCGAGACUCCAUCUGGAGACAACUGUUGCUAACACCCAUGGAGCAAGAACAUCUGCAAACCCAGGCAGGGUUCCUAGGAGGGUUUGUGACAUAUCAGAGCCAGAAGAGGCCCUGGACGCCAGCUGGUUCAACCACCUUGCUUUAUAUCUGAGACAACGGAGGCCCAGAGAGGCGGCAGCAGAGUCAUCUAAAGCAUCAGAGCUGUGUCCCAGAUCUGGACAGUGAAGCCAGGUGAGACCAUCAGAUUCCAAAUUAAAGGCGUCCCAAUGAAAGCUGAACUCGAGAAAUUUAUCAAGUUCAAUUCCAAUCAGGUGAAAGAGGUUCAUGCUGAGAAGACUGUUCUCAUCACCAACUAGCCUUCGCCUGAUGCCCCAGAAAGAGGCAGCAGCUCUGAUCGGCUCUGAGCCUUGGCUGAGUGUUUCAGCAUUUCCUGCUUUGGGAUUAGCUUUCAGAUAAUUACAUUUUAUUACUCAUUAGAUUUCAGAUGAUUAGAUUGGAUUACUCAUAUGAGGACAGAUUCAAGAGCCAGCUGGGUGAAACACAGCGUUCAAAGGCCAACACAAACCACAGGCAGCAGGACCCACUAGGCCAGGUCACGUGGACUCACAGGGUUGCCUUGUUGACAGCCAGAAACGCCCAGCCUGGGCCACAGAACCCCACACCCCUGCCUUGAGUCAUGGCCUCAAAGAGCAGGGCCACCGCUGUCUGUAGUCAGAACCAAAGGUGUCCACAGCUGCAGAGUCCCUCCCUGGAGCCAUAGGCUAUCAGAAGCUCAGAGCUGCUGCCCACUCGCCCCAUGAGAAGGGACCACCUCUUCAGCCUCAGGGCGCAUCAGCCCUGGAAGCACCAGCCAAGCGGAGUCUUCUGCCAGCACUGGGCUGGGCCUGUUGGAAGUACAGUCUCUCCUCGCUAUUGUCUGCCUGAAAUCCAAGGACUCCCUGCCCCACUGCCCCACACCCAUCCCUCCUCCCUCCCUGAGGGGGGCCUACCUGAAGACCAGUGGGUGGAUGGGCCCUUUCCCUCAGACCUC